AACGCGAAGAACCUUACCUGGGUUUGACAUCCUCUGGAUGUUUUAGAGAUAGAACAGGCUCGCAAGAGACAGAGAGACAGGUGCUGCAUGGCUGUCGUCAGCUCGUGUUGUGAAAUGUUGGGUUAAGUCCCGCAACGAGCGCAACCCCUGUCUUUGGUUGCCAUCAUUAAGUUGGGCACUCCAAAGAGACUGCCGUCGUUAAGACGGAGGAAGGUGGGGAUGACGUCAAGUCCUCAUGGCCCUUAUAUCCAGGGCGACACACGUGAUACAAUGGUAGGUACAGAGGGUAGCGAAGUAGUGAUACGGAGCCAAUCUCAAAAAGCCUAUCUCAGUUCGGAUUGGAGUCUGCAACUCGACUCCAUGAAGUUGGAAUUGCUAGUAAUCGCGGAUCAGAACGCCGCGGUGAAUACGUUCCCGGGCCUUGUACACACCGCGCAUA
rnacentral:rRNA from 1 species